UACGUAGGGCGCAAGCGUUGUCCGGAAUUAUUGGGCGUAAAGAGCUCGUAGGCGGCUUGUCGCGUCUGCCGUGAAAGCCCGUGGCUUAACUACGGGUCUGCGGUGGAUACGGGCAGGCUAGAGGCUGGUAGGGGCAAGCGGAAUUCCUGGUGUAGCGGUGAAAUGCGCAGAUAUCAGGAGGAACACCGGUGGCGAAGGCGGCUUGCUGGGCCAGUUCUGACGCUGAGGAGCGAAAGCGUGGGGAGCGAACAGG
rnacentral:rRNA from 1 species